rnacentral:lncRNA from 10 species
GCCGCCGGGGCCGCCUAGAGAAGAGGCUGUGCUUCGGCGCUCCGGCUCCUCAGAGAGCCUCGGCUAGGUGUGGAAACAGGAAGAGAACUAGAACUGGAAGUAAAGCAUUGAAGAUGUGACUGAAUUGCUGCAAUCUCAUGAUCAAAUUUGAAUGGAUGAGGAGUUGCUUUUUAGGGAUGAGCAAAGAAAGUUGCUCCUUGAGGGCAGGACAGUUCUUAUGGCUUUAUCCGUUGCGUAAGCACAGAGAGGUCUGCGAGGUCAAAACUAUUGUCAUGAUAGCAAGAUGCCUGUCUUUUUCAUUUAUUCUCACGGUGUGCAGAGGCUACAUGAUGUGUGAUGACAUCCUCAUUGAUGUUAAUGAAUGGUGCUAUACUUGAAUUUUCUAAGGUGUCAUUAGGUAGGUUUAGGUAUGCAUACUUGUUUUUAGAAAUUAUUUUUUUCCUUUUUCCCAUUUUUAGAAAUCAACUCAUUUUUUAGGUUAUGCCUUCAGUAAUCUUUGCAACCUCAAUAUUGUGUAAUGGUUACUUUAAAAUACUGUAGUUUUCUUUGUGCCUAAGUAUAAACAUAAGUACAUUUUGUUGUUUUGUUUGCAAUAGUGGUUUAAAUAUUUUCCCAAAAUAUCCAAAUUUAAAAAUUCUACAACUUUAGAAUUUAAUAAAUUUAUUCUAAAAUAUUUAUAUAUUUUUUCAUUUAAGAAUGGAUCGGCUUAAAAAGACUGCUUCUCAUUUACUUACUGGCUAUACCAUCUGUAUACUAAUAAAAAACAAGAUUUGAUUUGGAAGGACUGACUCAAACUAACGAAAAUAUGAAACCUGUCUUUCUGCUUUGGAGAUAUUUACCUAAUCAUGUUCUGCAGUAGAAUAAUUUAGUUCUUUUGUCUUUUUUUGGAGAUGAGGUCUUGCUGUGUUGCCCAGGCUAUUCACAGCUGCCAUCAUAGUGAACUACAGCCUGAAACUCCUGGGUUCAAGAGAUCCUUCUGCCUCAGCCUCCUGAGUAGCUGGAACUAUAGGCAUGCGCCACCAAGCCUGGGCUUUUAAAAAAAUUUUAAAAAGAAUUUUGAGACAGGAUCUUGCCAUGUUGCUCAGGCUAGUCUUCAACUCCUAGCCCUGAGUGAUCUUGCUUUGGGCCUCUCAAAAUGUUGAGUUAAUAGGCGUGAGCCACCAUACCCAGCCAAAAAUUUUUUUAGAGAUGGGAAUGGAAUGAUCUUGAAUAGUGUUGGUGCCACCUAUGUUGUGGCAUCAUUUUGAAACCAAUCAUUCAGAGUGCUUUUUUUGGUAAGGCAUUAUUUUUUAAUGCAGGUAUGCCACUACUGGGAAAAAAAAAAAAACAGGUUUUAAAGCUAGAAAUGAAAAGCUACUUAAGUAUCUUAAAGGAUAAGUUACUUUAUUAUACACUAGAAACAUACACAAUAGCUGAAAAACUUAAAAAAUCUCACACUGCUGAAUGUCUCUGCUGGCUGAAGUGUAAGUAAAAGAUCAUAGUAGUGCCGCUGUUGAGUGAUAAAGCAACUUGUCAUUAAAGAUGUGUGUGCAGACAUGGAUUCUGAGUUAAUAUCUCAUCUGUAGAAGUAUAUAUUUGUCCCUUGCUUUGGGAUUGGUUUCUGGACAGCACUCCCCCACCCUUGCUGGCCAUUUGCCAAGGACACCAAAACCCAAGGAUGUUGAAUUCCCUUUUAUAAAAUGGCGCUGUAUCUGCAUACAACUUACACACAUCCUCCCAUAUACUUUAAAUCAUUUCCAGAUUUCUUAUACUUCAUACAAUGUGAAUGCUAUAUAAAUAGUUGUUACAUUGUGUACUUAUAUUUGUACUAUUGUAUUAAAUAUUCUCAAAUAUU